AAAACUUUCAACAACGGAUCUCUUGGUUCUGGCAUCGAUGAAGAACGCAGCGAAAUGCGAUAAGUAAUGUGAAUUGCAGAAUUCAGUGAAUCAUCGAAUCUUUGAACGCACAUUGCGCCCCUUGGUAUUCCGAGGGGCAUGCCUGUUCGAGCGUCAUUACA
rnacentral:rRNA from 1 species